rnacentral:misc_RNA from 1 species
GGCCAACCCCACAAUCCCGGAGCUAGGGUUUGAUCAAUGGACCACCCAGCUCAGCCGGCGGACACCGAGAUGGGGGAGGCGGGGGCGGCGCCGCCCGCGCCGCCGCCGGGGAUGGAGAACAUCUCCGCCACGCUCAGCCACGGCGGCCGGUUCAUCCAGUACAACAUCUUCGGCAACAUUUUCGAGGUGACGGCCAAGUACAAGCCCCCGAUCA